AAAGAAUCAAAGAUUACUUUCCCUGCUAUUUGUUUCAGACCCAUGGGUGUCAAAUUCUGCCUUUUUAUUCAGACCAUAAUUCAAUUGAUGCCCAGUUAACUAGAUGGAAUCUUAGACAUGGAAUCUAAUCCACUAUUUUCAAUCAGAGAUCCAACCUAACUCAGAAGCACCAUGCAGUCCUGCGUCUAAGAGAAAGCUAGACUCCAUGGUUUUGAAGCCCAAUCCUGCCAGUGUGGCCUAAUAUAAGGUGGUUAACCUUGUCAGUCUGUUUCAACGGCAAAAUGGAGAGAAUAAUAAUACCCAUCUCAUGAAGAUUAAGUUAACAUAUGUCAGAUGCUUACAACAGUACCUAAGACUCAGUAAAUGCACAAUAAAUAUUAUUGCUGUUAUUGCUCUAAUUCACUUAUCAAACAUUUCCUACUCUGUGCCUGACCCUGGGAGAAUGAUGCCAAAUGACAUAUAGUGAUGUCUUCGGAGUGCUCAAUGUUUAAUGAGGGCAGUGACAGAAGCAAGCAAGCACAGCAGCUAUUGGGAGUGAGGCCAAGUUUCUCCCAUUUUGCUCCCCCAAUUAAUAAAUGUUCUUUUCAGAAAAGCUGGACAAUAUUCACAAGCAGAAAUAAACACUGUUGAUAUUCUUAUGUAUAUACUUUAACUUUCUCUUACAAAAAUUUAUAAAUGUAUGUAUUUUUUACAAAAUUUGGACCAUACUAUAACUUACUUUGACAAUAUCUCACAAAUGUACUUCCAGGUCAAAAUAGACAUAGAUCAUUUUAAUGAAUAACAUUCUAUCAUAUAAAUAAAUUUAGCCAUUUGUUAUUGCUGAACAUUUAGGUUAUUUACUAUUUGUUUUCAAAUAAGCAGUGAUAAACAUUCUUUUACAUAUAUUUUACAUAGCUCUCCAGUUAUUUGCUUAUAAUAUAUUCCACACAGUAAAAUGUUGAGUCAAAAGAUGUGUGUGUGUGUGUACAUAUACUUUUUCAAAAAAAGUCAUUAGAUACAUAGGGCCAAUCUAGAAGAGGGCCUGUUUCUCCAUGUUUUCUUGGACUGAUUCCUCUCUUUAAAUUUUUGGUAAUUUGAUUGAUGAAAAAAAUGGAAGUACAUUGUUUUAAUCUUCAUUUCCUUGAUUGCUGGUAAGUCUGAAUAUCUUCUCAUUUACCUAUUAGACAUUUUGUCAUUGUUCACUUGUGAAGCCUUUCUUCAUGUCCUUUGUCUGUUUUGAGAGGGAGCAUCUGAAUCAGACUGAGGAGUCAGGAAAAGUUUCCUGAAAUAUAGCGAUGUAGGUACAUAAUUUUGAAGGAUCAAUGAGAGCUACUUAGACAAAAAGGAAGGGAAGAAUACUCCAGGUAGAGGGAAACACAUAUGUGAAGGCAGAGAGGCAGAACACUGCACAGUGAAUGCCGAAGUACAAGUAGUUCCAGCCAGUUUCACUGGCGGGCGUAUAGAGACAAGCAAGAGGGCAGGAAAACAGAGCAGCAGCAGCAGCAAAAGCCAAUCACAGUUGGCCUUUGUAUGCUAAACUAAGGAGUCUGAACUUUAUUCUGAAAGCUAUGAGAAAAACAAAGACUUUUAGGCUAGAGAGUAAGAGUAACACGAUGAAAUUUGUUACAGAAAGAUCACUGUAGCACCUGAGUGGAGGAUAGAUAGGAACCAGACUGAAGACCUAGAAAUCGAUUAGGAGGUUAUGAUAAUAAUCCAUGCAAGAAGUGAUGAGAAUCUAAACCAAGUAGGUGACAGUAAUAACAAAGAGGAGGGCACUGAUUAGCCCAGGAGGAAGAAUCCAUAGAACAGCAGGAGGGGAAAGUGACAGGGAGGAAUCUUGGAUUUCUGGCUUAAGUACUGGGAGACUUGUGUUGCUAAUCCUAAAACAGACUUUUUGUUUUUGUUUUACAGGGGGUGGCCACAGGACAGAUAAAGUUAUUUUCUGAAUGUGUUGUUUGAGGAGGUACCUGUGGAAUAUCUAAGUGGUGAUGACUGAAUGAAAUGUGAACACAAAAACCUGGAGGUCAGCAGAAAGAUCUGGGUUGGAGACGCAGCUCUGAGAAUUUACUCAGGGAAACAUCUGGAGCAGAGUAUGAGGUAAAGAAAUUCCACUGCUUAUCUCAGCUGAUGAAAGGGUUAAAGAAGAAAUGAUCAACAUCAAUCAUAAAGAAAAGACAGAGUUGAUUGAAUGUCCAUGCCACUUAGGUGGAUCACUUGAAGACUAGGAGCAGAAAAAAACUGUAGAAAAUUGUCUUGAAAACUUUUUAUUUAACAGAGAACACAAGGUGUAAUGAUUCAGAAGUAAUGAGUCAUUUAGAAAUAAUAAAACUAUUACUUUGCCUGGAAAACAUAGGCAAUCUUGGGUGGAUGACUCAGUGUGGAAACUGCUUCCAACAGAACAGUUUAAAAGAAUACCAAAAGUGUACAGUAAGGCCUAUUUGUGGAAUAAAAAAGGAGACCUGGAA
rnacentral:lncRNA from 1 species